rnacentral:lncRNA from 1 species
AUGAGUUGGCAAGGAAGAUCAGCAUGUAGGCUUAGACCAAGACGGUAUGUGCAGCCUCCUGAGCUAACUGGGCCUGUGCUUGAGCCCAGUGAUGAGCAGCCUCAGCAAGAGGAACCACCACCUGAAAGUCGGGGUCUUACCUGGCCAGGAGAGAGAGGAAGAUCACGGUGCUGCUGAGAUUCUUGUGCUUGACCAGGAAGCUGAUCUCCGGGAGCUGUCUCAAAGACUGGGAUGAAUGUGGAGAUGGUCCUGAUGUCCGGGGAAUAUUCUGCCGAAAUCAGAGCAAUUUAAAUUGCCAGAAGGAGGUGAAGGGCAACCACAGGU